rnacentral:rRNA from 1 species
GUACGGCGAGUGAAGCGGUAACAGCUCAAAUUUGAAAUCUGGCUCUUUCAGGGUCCGAGUUGUAAUUUGUAGAAGAUGCUUCGGGUGUGGCUCCGGUCUAAGUUCCUUGGAACAGGACGUCAUAGAGGGUGAGAAUCCCGUAUGUGACUGGCUGCCUCCGCCCAUGUGAAGCUCUUUCGACGAGUCGAGUUGUUUGGGAAUGCAGCUCAAAAUGGGUGGUAUAUUUCAUCUAAAGCUAAAUAUUGGCCAGAGACCGAUAGCGCACAAGUAGAGUGAUCGAAAGAUGAAAAGCACUUUGGAAAGAGAGUUAAACAGUACGUGAAAUUGUUGAAAGGGAAGCGCUUGCAAUCAGACUUGCACGUUACCGAUCAUCCGGUGUUCUCACCGGUGCACUCGGUUACGUUCAGGCCAGCAUCGGUUUGGGUGGUUGGAUAAAGGCCUUGGGAAUGUAGCUUCUUUCGGGGAGUGUUAUAGCCCUCGGUGCAAUGCAGCCUACCUGGACCGAGGACCGCGCUUCGGCUAGGAUGCUGGCGUAAUGGUUGUAAGCGACCCGUCUUGAAACA